rnacentral:tRNA from 1 species
AGAUAGGUGGCUGAGUGGUAAAGCACUUGGAUUCUAAAGCGAAAGAAAGCAGAGUUCGAAUCUCGGUUAAUUUU